UGUAGUUGGCUUUUUUGAAUGUCAUACACUCCCAUUAUUGAAGGAUGGGGAGAAUAGAAAUAAAAAUUGAAAGAUAAAAUUAAAAAUUUUCCAAAUUUUUGAGCUGAAUGAACAAACAUUCAAGGUACUUGGGAAAAUCAGGGUUCAAUUUGAAGUUCGGUGCUCAGUUGCGGGAGGUGGGGCGAAGGCCAUCUUUGACGCCUGCUUCUAGAAGUGGAUUCAUUGAGGAAGGUUUAGGAGAAGGAUAGAGUCAUUGGUGGUGGCGACCUCACCCGACAGCAACAUCAGGAUCUACCUAUUACUGGAGCCAAACAAUUCAGAAAAGCAGAAUCAGCAUAUUCGCCGGCGACUCGGAGAGAAGAGUGGAACCCUAGGCUUUGCUCCAUUAUCGCCUCUCCUCUGUCUCCUUCCCUCUCCCUCUGUCUAUCACUCUUAAGGCUGGAAAUUCUGAACCCUAACAUCCAGUGCUGGCUCUCUGCCUCUCCCAGUGUCCCUCGUCUCUCUUCCUAUGUGUCGCUGUUGUUCUGAUCGGUGGACUAUUGCUCCUGUUCGUCCUUCUUUAUGCUCUAAUUUUGGUGAAUAUAAGAAGUAUUGAUGAAGUUGUGACUUAUGAUUUUCAUAUUAUGUGUGAGCUAUAAAGGAUUGAAAACAUGUUAUUUCUUCCUCUAAUGUGAUGCCGGCACAUAUAGGGAUUGCCUCAAAGUUGUAUUCAAGCAUUGGCUCGUUUUGGUCCAGGGAUGUGUGAGAGUGAGCUGGAUUUGGAUAAUGGGAGUACGUCGGAGUUGACAAGCCAAUGUACUGAUGGUUGGAGCACCAAUUCGGGUGAUGAAGAUGAUUCGGACGGGUCAGAGGAACCACAGACUCGCGAAGGUGAUAGUGGCCCUGCAAACAGCGAAUACCAAGGCUACGAUGGUGGUGGAGGCGAUGUAGAUGCCUCAAUAGAGGAUCAUGGGUGAACAAUUCAGCAAUCCAGACCCUGUGAAUAGUUCUGUGUUGUUAUUUGCAAAGUUUAAUGUGGUUGAAGAUGCCUACACAAGCUAUGUGACAUAUGUGAAGUGUAAACUCCGAAUAAU